CAAUCCUCUCGCGUUUGUUGCUGUUUCAUCAGCGCCGCUCAAGUUUCCAUAAAUACUACACGGUAGCAGUGAUACCUUUUAUUGUGACGACUGACAAGGAACUGCUUGUCAAGUAAUAAUUAAGGCUUGCCUGACUCAUGGCUCGGAAAUACGAGUGAACAUUCAAAGCAACUGAAAGAAGGGGGGAAAAUGUAGCAGCUAAGAAACUCAAUGAUUCCAAGGACUGCGAAUGCUUGCUUUCUAUGAGAAUCAUCGGCUGUCAGAGAUGAAGAUAGGAGCAGAUGUGAGGCAAGAGACAAAGGGACAAGAAUGCAAUGACCUCACCAGCCAAACCACACCUGGCAAGGGCCUGCACGCCAUCCAAUGGGAACUGCACGCCAUCCAAUGGGAACAUCAGGCUGCAGAAAGCAGAGGACGGCACACCAUUAAGAAACGGGCAUGACGGUGAACCCACCGCAAUUGAGCAAACAGCAAUCACCAAGCUGAGAGGGAAAAGCCAGCCAAAGGGGUGGUGACCUUCUGGCCUGAUUUACAGCUCCUGUGACAGGGCCAAUGCUGCAGCCACAUCUUCAUUAGUGACUUCCACCUGAGAGCUGAGCUGCCAGGAGCCAACCAACUUCCAGCCUGGGCUUGAUGGGCCUCCCCAUGGAUUGCCCAGCCCUGCCCAGACCAACAGCACAAGAUCCAGUCUUUCCAGUGCACAGUGAACUCUCCCUUCACCCUCCCCCAGCCUUGCUUCCCAACCUCCCUCACCAAACCAAACUCCUAUCCUUACAACCACCCAGAGGAAUCUUGGCUUUGUCCAGAAGGCGCUAUAAAUCUAUUGAGUGAUGUCAGUGUCAUUUUGGGGAACAUACAACCUAAACACAAAUAUUUUACAUUGUGUGUGUGUGUGUGUGUGUGUGUAUGUGUGCACGCGCGUGUGUGUGUGCAAAUUAUUGAUAGAAGCCAGUGUUAAAGAUGAACUUCAUCCUUUUUUUCACUGGUAGAAAUGUGUUUCUGUUGGACUGUCUCAGAUGCUUAACAGUAUAAACAACUGUCACCACUGCUCCUACCUCCCAAGCUGAGAUCGAUGGCAUUUCAAAUGGCACUGCUCUCUUCUGCACCCUGUGUGGCAUAUAGGGUUCCUCUCAGUAUAUUAGUGUCAUGCAGGGGAAAAAAGAAGAAUGCUUUGUUGAAUUUUCAGAAAGCUACUGCUCUCCUUUUUCCUAUGCUGACUCCUAUGUUCACUUUAUCAACCCUGCCUAGUAAGACUGAAACAAAGCAGACAAACAUUAAUUAUUAUUUAAUAAAAUACAAAUACCUCAUUCUACAAUUUUAUUUAAUGUCUUUUAAUACAAAGCCAUUUUAUUGCAAGGAUCGCACAUACAAAUUUGGUAGGCUGUGAAGUCUACUGUAGGGUAGCAAUGCGAUGAUGGAAGAACAACUAAUAUAAACAUGUUACAGGGCUUGUGUUCCACAGAAUGGAUUGUUAUGAAAUAACUACACAAACAAACUGUUUUAGUCAGUAGUUAGAAUAGGAGUAGUAGAGCCCAUUUUCGAAGGUUUUAAACCAGUAGAAUCAAUCCGAGAGGCAUGUCGCUGAAAUAAUCUGCAUAUUUCAAAACAUUAAGCAACCCAUAGUUCAACUUUGAUACGGAGGCCUCAGUACCAUAGGGUAAAGCGUAAGGAACUGGUCUUGUAACCAAGAAAUUACAGGUCUUAUUCCCUGGUAGUAAACUGCUUUUGUUCACUUGAGCAAGGUGCUUAACCUGCAUUGCUUCAGCAGAUGUCUGGCUAUAUAAAGAUAUACAAUGCAAGUGCGAUGUAAUAAGUUGUGUAAAUUGCUCUGUAUAAGAGCAUCUGCUAAAUGCCUGUAAUGUCUUUAGAACUUAAUUUAGGUAAAUAUUUAAUGUUCCGUUUUCCACUGUACCGUGCGUUUGUAUCGUACAUAUAUAGUUGUACAUGGAAUUUCAGGUUUUAUAUCUGAAUCAUGUUUUUGUUUUCACAAAGCAAAUUAUAAAGUGCAAAAAAUUGCAUUCUGUGAAUUGUUAUAAUGUCACACAUUAUUGAACAUGUCUGUUAGCUCAAUUUGUUAUGAUUUUUUUUUUUUUAAACUAUUAAUUAACACCUUCUAGGUGGGUCAUAAAUAGUGUAUGUGUAAUGUAUUUUUUAUGGAUGAAAGCCCCUACAAGACGUCAGCCAGACAAAUUAAUUACAACAAUAUUUAUUUUUUGAAGAUUGCUUUAAAUCAAAAGUGAGAAAUAACAACAGAUUACCAAUACAAGAUACAUAAUAAUGUUUAAAUACCAUAGAAGAGACCACAGACAUAAAGGCAAAGCAUAAUUUUUCCAAGGGACCAAAAUGAAUUUGGAGGGGUGGAGGAUAUUACGCUUUGAUAUAACAGCGCUGUGCUGAGUUUUGGAUUUGGGGAAUUAGAGAGUAUGUGUCCUGUUAAAAAUCUCCCAUCGAUCCUUCAGGCAAAGAGAGCAUUAAAAAAGAAAUAAAAUAGAAUAAAAACUAAACAGAAACCCGUGUACUUGGG